UACGUAGGGUACAAGCGUUGUCCGGAAUUAUUGGGCGUAAAGAGCUCGUAGGCGGUCUGUCGCGUCUGCUGUGAAAACUCGGGGCUUAACCCCGGGCCUGCAGUGGGUACGGGCAGACUAGAGUGCGGUAGGGGAGACUGGAAUUCCUGGUGUAGCGGUGGAAUGCGCAGAUAUCAGGAGGAACACCGAUGGCGAAGGCAGGUCUCUGGGCAACUACUGACGCUGAGGAGCGAAAGCGUGGGGAGCGAACAGG
rnacentral:rRNA from 1 species